GACGAACGCUGGCGGCGUGCUUAACACAUGCAAGUCGAACGGAAAGGCCCUGCUUUUGUGGGGUGCUCGAGUGGCGAACGGGUGAGUAACACGUGAGUAACCUGCCCUUGACUUUGGGAUAACUUCAGGAAACUGGGGCUAAUACCGGAUAGGAGCUCCUGCUGCAUGGUGGGGGUUGGAAAGUUUCGGCGGUUGGGGAUGGACUCGCGGCUUAUCAGCUUGUUGGUGGGGUAGUGGCUUACCAAGGCUUUGACGGGUAGCCCGCCUGAGAGGGUGACCGGCCACAUUGGGACUGAGAUGCGGCACAGACGCCUACGGGAGGCAGCAGUGGGGAAUAUUGCACAAUGGGCGGAAGCCUGAUGCAGCAACGCCGCGUGCGGGAUGACGGCCUUCGGGUUGUAAACCGCUUUCGCCUGAGACGAAGCGUGAGUGACGGUAAUGGGUAAAGAAGCACCGGCUAACUACGUG
rnacentral:rRNA from 1 species